rnacentral:rRNA from 1 species
CAGCAGCCGCGGUAAAACGGAGGGUGCAAGCGUUAAUCGGAAUUACUGGGCGUAAAGCGCACGCAGGCGGUCUGUCAAGUCAGAUGUGAAAUCCCCGGGCUUAACCUGGGAACUGCAUUUGAAACUGGCAGGCUAGAGUCUUGUAGAGGGGGGUAGAAUUCCAGGUGUAGCGGUGAAAUGCGUAGAGAUCUGGAGGAAUACCGGUGGCGAAGGCGGCCCCCUGGACAAAGACUGACGCUCAGGUGCGAAAGCGUGGGGAGCAAACAGGAUUAGAUACCCCGGUAGUCCCUGUCUCUUAUAC